UUUAGACAUUAGAUUUUUUAUCAGUCCAAAGAGCAAAAACCAAAAAAGGAAAAAAGAUAGAAAUAAACGAAUCAAAAGAAGCAAAAACAUUGAGUCUCUUCGGACAUCAGACUCAAAUUAGGGCAUAAAGCCUUGUCGGAAGAAGCAGCCAUGGGGAGAAGAAAAGUAGAGAUCAAACUAAUUGAGAACAAAAGUAGUAGACAAGUCACUUUCUCUAAACGACGCACUGGUCUCAUCGAGAAAGCUCGACAGCUUUCAGUUCUCUGUGAAUCAUCCGUCGCUGUUCUCGUCGUCUCCGCCUCUGGAAAACUCUACAACUCCUCUUCCGGUGACAACAUGACCAACAUCAUCGAUCGUUAUGGCAUACAACAUGCUUGUGAACUUAGAAGCUUGGAUCUUGCAGAAAAUACUCGGAGUUAUCUUCCACACAAUGAGUUACUCGAAUCAGUCAAAAGCAAUCUUGAAGAAUCAAAUGUCGACAACGUAAGUGUAGAUUCUCUAAUUUCUCUGGAGGACCAGCUCGAAACUGCUCUGUCUGCAACUAGAGCUAGGAAGACAGAACUAACGAUGGAGUUGUAAUGACCCACCUCCACUAUCCCCACUAUCUCCACCAUCUCCACCAUCCCCACCACUCCCACCAUCUCCACCAUCCCCAACUUCUUUAAAGAGAAAGAGAGAGAGAGGGAGAGAGAGAGAGAGAGAGAGAAAGAGAGAGAAAGCUCACCUGAGCUCGUCGCCGGAGCAACCGUGUGCCGUGAUCACGUUCAGCUUGCCACCACCGAUAAACGCCCUAGGCCAUCAUCGUGUUCCUCUCGUCGAGACGAAGCCGUAGACACCAACCACGCCUCAAACGGAGCCCGGACGAAGCCGCACGCGCCUCCCGAAGAUUCGCCUCGGCGCGCGCGUGAAACACACGCGCCACCGCCUUCCGCCGGAUCCACCCUGAGUUCCGGCCACGCGCCGCCGUCUCCGACCAACGUUCGCCGGAGCUGCCGUGACCGACCACCGUCCGUCCGCCGCCGAGAAGCGCCGCCGCCGCGCCGCCGCCUCGCCGCCGUCGCCGCCGUUGAUUUUCCGAUUUGGAGUCCAUUUGAGCAGCUGGAGUUCAUAGAUAUCUCUUAUUAUUGCUAAGGUGAGACAAACAAGUAUGUGAUAUUUGGACGGACUUGGUGCUACUGGACUUUUCUUUCGGAUUUUAUUUGGGCAUGGGUGAGAGUUGUCGGGUUUAUGGGCUUUUAUAUUACGGGAUAUUGUUGGUGGCCCGUCGUCCUUAGUGUCAGGGAGACGGGUGUCACAUUGUUGUAUGAUGACGCGUCGGGGGUGACACGCUGUCCUCCAUAUAGGAGGUGACGGGUGUCACAAUUUGGUAUCAGAGCGGGUUCCAUCCCGGUUCCGUCCGGGAUGGCGGUCAGGGGAUUCGGUUUUCAUCGAUUUUCAACUUAAAAAAAAAAAAAAACUAUAUAUAUUUAUUUAUACAUUUCGAAAUUCUUUUAGCAUCAUUCUGUCCAGUAAUUACUAACUCAAAUGUCUCUUUCUAUGACGAUGAGUAAAAUCAUCGUCAUUCGUCCUUCGACUAUCAAGGUUCUCGACAGAUGUUCACCAGUUGCGUGAAGUCCAAGUUCGUCAGAUUUCUCGGAAGUUAUCAGUUUCUUCGGUCAUGAUUUCGAGGCUAUCCAGGAGUGGAUAUGUGACGUUUCUGCCACCAGCCCACUUCAAGCAAUCGUUCCACGAGUUUUGUUACUGGAGAUUAUGUGGUGUGUGGUAUGAGCCAUUGGUUGGCAUGUGUUGUUGUGUGUACGAGUAUAUUGACUAUUUUGGAGAUAUAUUUGUUUUGUGAACUCGUGGAGAUCGCUUUUGAAUUGGGGUGCAGCAGCUUGCGUUGUGUGGGUGUUGGAGUUACACUUUGGUAUGUUUACCAAUUUUGGCAGUGUUGAUCGUUUCAGAGAUGUGUCAGUUUGGACAACUGACAUAGGACAUUGGGAGCUAUUUAUAUCCAUCGCAGUGUACCAGUUAUGCUUGGAGGGCCGAUUUGUUCGGAUAUUCAUCAGAGAUGGAGCUACGUUUUUACGAUGUUAUCCUUGGGAUGGAUUGGCUGUCACGGCAUCAAGUAGUGUUGGAUUGCCUGAGGGCAAGAGUUCCGAUUGCUGGAGCAGAUGGAAGUUGUUAGUGCAUGCAUGCUACAUACUGAGGAGUUAUGGGAUACAAGGAUAUAUAGAUUUUUGACUACCAUCUCGAUGGUUAAGGAUGAUGGACAACAUGAGCUGCAGGAUCUUCCGGUUAUUGCAGAGUAUGAGGAUAUAUUUGUGACCUUUGGAAAGGCCACCACAUGACACAUGAGAAACUCUUGCGAUUUGUUUGGAGCAAACAACACCAGUUUCACAAGUUUUAUACCGAUUAGCACCAACAGAGAUGACAAAGCUGAAAGAGCAUGUUGAAGAUUCAUCAGACAAGGGUUUUAUCAGACCGGAUACUUUACCGUGGGGAACAUCAUCAUUGUUGUUGUAAAGAAGAAAGGUGGGAGUUUCAAUUUUGUAUCGACUACAAAGGUCUGAACAAAGUGACCAUUAAAGAUAAGUAUCACUUCCGCGCGUUGAUGAAUUAUUGGAUUAUUUACAGGAAGUUUAUAGUUCUUGAAGGUUGACAUGGCAUCAGAACACCAUCAGAUUACUAUAUUUGAAGAGUAUCUACUGAAUGUGAAUUUUUGUAUACAUUAUGGAUAUUAUGGGACGCAGUGAUACCAUUUGGCUCGACAAAGGCACUGUUGCAUUCAUGAAGAUAUGAAUGACGUUUUCAUGAACAUUUGGAUAGGUGUACGAUUGUAUUCAUCGAUGACAUCCUGAUUUAUUUUGGAGAAGAAAGGAGAUUUGUGAGCAUUUCGCGGAUUGCGUUGGAUAAGCCUGGAGAGCAUCAGUUGUUCGCUAAGUUGAGGAAGUGUAGCUUCUGACAGAGGAAUGUUGUAUUUUUGGCUGACAUGGUUUUGGAAGCAGAAUUUUGAUGGAUCCAAAGAAGAUUAAUACCGUUUCGGGAAGGUCGAAACCUAAGAGCGCUACAAAGAUCUGCCGUUCUUUUUGGGUUAAUAGUGUACUACUGGAAGUUCAUCAAGGGUUUCACCGGUUUAGUAAUGUUAAAGACGCGGUCUACAUGUAAAGACGUUAAGUGUGGCUGGAUAGAUUUUUGUUCGAGGAGUUUCACUGAAUUGAAGCACAACUAAUGAAGACACCAGUUUUGGGUUCUACUGAGGCUGAGGCUUACUGUGAUGUGUCAGAUACUGGAUUGGAUUUAAAUUAAGGUAUGAGGAUUAAGUCAUUCAUAUGCAUCAUGCCAGAGAGGCUGUAGUGGUAUUUGCGUUAUAGUUUUGGAAAUCAUAAUUGUACGGGAAGGAAGUUCAGAUUCUCUGGGAUUAUUAGAAUGUGAAAUUUAUCUUCAUUUAUUAAAAACUUGUACUUGGACAGUGCAGUUGGAUUGAGUUUGUAGCAAGCUAUAGUUUGGAUAUCACAUACUAUCUGGUAAGGACAACCAGGUGAUAAAUGCCUUGGGUAGGCGUAUGAGCUGUAUCUCAGGAACCAAGAAGGUUCAUGAGUUUACUGGGAGAUUUGCUAGUCUCAGGUUGGGUGCCAUUACUAUCAAUGGAGAGACAGAUGUCCUUGAGGAUUGGAGCAUGCAGUUUUGCUAUGGAGGAUACGCAAGCACAAGUUAGCAUUGGAUUUGGUUGAACAGAUCGAGAUUGAGAGUAUUGGAUAUCAUACAGCUAUGAGCAGGAUAUACUUGUACUGAAACCGAGUUUGUGUGUUGGACGAUAAGUUGUUAAGAAAAGGAAUCUUACAACAAACAUAUCACUCGUGUUUCUCUACGCAUCGGGAAGACCAAAGGGUACAAAGAUAUGAAGAGUUAACUAUAAUUGGUGUAGUAUAAAGAUGUUUGUAACUACAUUGCGUCGCAGUGCCAGACAUGUUAUAUGGCAAUGACAGAGGAUCAGUUAUCUAUCAUGUUAUUUUAAGCUUGCUUUUGCCGGAAUGGAAAUGAGGCAUGGUGAUUAUGGACAUUGUUAUUGGAUUUUAAAUCACCAUAUGUGGAAAGGAUGCCACAUGGGUAGUCAUGGAUAGACUUACCAAGUCAGCCCAUUUCCUAAGUAAUUAAGAAGAUAAUCAGGGCUAAUCAAUUGGAGCAAACCUACAUUAUUGAGUUUGGGAAGUUUCAUGGAUGUCAACAUUGUAUCGGAUUGGGAAUCGAAGUUCACAUCUACAUUUCAGAGAGCCUUUCGGAAGGCACUUGGGACAAAGAUCAUAUGAGUACAUCUUAUCACCCGUUGACAUAUUGUCAGUUAGAGAGGACUACUCAGAACUUAAAGGAUAUGUUCAGAGAUUGCGUGAGAUGGAAUUUCAGAAAGCAUCUACCUAUACCAAAGUUUGCCUAUAUCGACAGCUAUCUUUUGAGUAAAAAAAAAAAAAAAAAAAAAAAAAAAAAAAAAAUUAUAUGAGGGUUAUUUAUGGUAGACCUUAUAGUAUACCACUUUGUUGGACCAAAGUGGGGUAGCAAUAUGAGUUAGAAAUAUUAAUGGUUUAAGAGACGGUAGAGCAAACGACAUGCUCAAGGAUUGGCUUUCGGAAGCCCAUGACGUCAGAGAAUUUAUGCAGCUAAGCACCGUAAGGAUUUGGAGCUACAUAUGAGCACCUAAUAUACCUGAAAUUAAGGACAUUUCAGCCUAAGAUUAAGAAGAUAAAGGAGCUUAAACCGAGAUACAUGGAAUUGUAUCCUGCACUGGAGUGGAUUGGAUUAGUUGCUUGCAGUUACUUUAUCAGCAGUAUAUCAGCCUUCUAGGACUUGAUUCAUAUGACAGCAUUGCAAAAGUUGAGAAGACGCUAUAAUUAUUUUGCAGUUGACGUCAAGUGAGUUCAUAAAGAUUUUAUGGACCUUAUCAUCUAUUGAAGAUUUUGGAUCAUCAUGAGAAGACAGUUCGGGGAAUAUCGACUGUGUUUGUCCGAGUUCGUUGGGAGGGAGAUAAGACCCAGGAGGAGACCUGAAAGGUCGAGCGAAGAUUAGUAUUCGAGGUUUUGCUAUGAUGACAUUGGGCACGUCAGCUUAUGACAUGAAUUCGGGGACGAAUUCCUUGUUAGUGGGGGAGAAUUGUAAUGACCCACCUCCACUAUCCCCACUAUCUCCACCAUCUCCACCAUCCCCACCACUCCCACCAUCUCCACCAUCCCCAACUUCUUUAAAGAGAGAAGAGAGAGAGAGAGGAGAGAGAGAGAGAGAGAGAGAGAAGAGAGAGAGAAAGCUCACCUGAGCUCGUCGCCGGAGCAACCGUGUGCCGUGAUCACGUUCAGCUUGCCACCACCGAUAAACGCCCUAGGUAACCGCCGAAAACCGCAUUUCUUAAGCUCAUUUUCGUUUCCGUUUAGUAAAUCACCCAUAACUUCCUAACCAUUGAUCAUCUCGUACAUCCAAGGCCAUCAUCGUGUUCCUCUCGUCGAGACGAAGCCGUAGACACCAACCACGCCUCAAACGGAGCCCGGACGAAGCCGCACGCGCCUCCCGAAGAUUCGCCUCGGCGCGCGCGUGAAACACACGCGCCACCGCCUUCCGCCGGAUCCACCCUGAGUUCCGGCCACGCGCCGCCGUCUCCGACCAACGUUCGCCGGAGCUGCCGUGACCGACCACCGUCCGUCCGCCGCCGAGAAGCCGCCGCCGCGUCGCCGCCUCGCCGCCGUCGCCGCCGUUGAUUUUCCGGUAAGCCGCCGGGGACCGACACCGGUGACUCGCCAACUCGGCCGAGUCAACCCGAUUUGGAGUCCAUUUGAGCAGCUGGAGUUCAUAGAUAUCUCUUAUUAUUGCUAAGGUGAGACAAACAAGUAUGUGAUAUUUGGACGGACUUGGUGCUACUGGACUUUUCUUUCGGAUUUUAUUUGGGCAUGGGUGAGAGUUGUCGGGUUUAUGGGCUUUUAUAUUACGGGAUAUUGUUGGUGGCCCGUCGUCCUUAGUGUCAGGGAGACGGGUGUCACAUUGUUGUAUGAUGACGCGUCGGGGGUGACACGCUGUCCUCCAUAUAGGAGGUGACGGGUGUCACAGGAGUUUGUGAAGAUGCUUCAAGAAAAGGAGGGGUUGCUGAGAGAAGAGAAUCUGGUUUUGACUAGCCAGAGAUAGGGAAGACGAACGGAGGGAGACAGAACAAUUCACCGGCAAAUAGCUCCGGCAUCAAUCCUCCGGAGACUCUCCCGCUGCUAAAGUAACUACCAUGAUCCAACGGCUGAGUUAACUCAAAGCCUGAUUUAAAGUUAAAAAGCAGAUGUGUAAACUAUAAAAAGCUGCAUAUUCUCAAAACCGUCAUGAACCAAAUUGUGGAUGACUCAUAACCAAGAGAUUAUGAUUUGUAAUCUUUUCAUUUAUCUAUGACGGUGUAAUCUCCUAUA